GCCUUUAGCUCAGGUGGUAGAGCAUAAGGUUCUUAAUCCCAGGGUUGUGUGUUCGAGCCCCACAUUGGGCA